AAUAUUGGACAAUGGUGGCAACCCUGAUACAGCCACGCCGCGUGUGUGCAGAAGGUCUUCGGAUUGUAAAGCACUUUAAGUUGGGAGGAAGGGCUUUAGUUUAAUACCUUGACGUUUUGACGUUACCAACAGACUAAGUACCGACUAACUCUGUGCCACGAGCCGCGGUAACACAGGUGGGGCAAGCGUUAAUCGGACUUACUGGGCGUCAAGUGCGUGUAGGUGAGUCAGUAAGAUGAGUGUGAAAUCCCCGGGCUUGACCUGGGAACUGCUUUCAUAACUGCUGAGCUAGAGUACGGUAGAUGCUAGUGGAAUUUCCUGUGUAGCGGUGAAAUGCAUAGAUAUAGGAAGGAACACCAGUGGCAAAGGCGACUACCUGGACUGAUACUGACACUGAGGUGCGAAAGCGUGGGGAGCGAACA
rnacentral:rRNA from 1 species